AACUGUAAUAGAGGCAGGACAUCUAUGCCACAACUAAUUUUGACAGGAAUAAGUCAUUUUUAUGUUAAAAGUACAUCUUGACAGGAAUACGUCAUUUCUAUGUUAAGGGUCCAUCUUGUCUCCACUCAUUAUUGCAAGCCAGAAAGUCGUUACAGUUCUUAGGAGUGUUGAUGAAAGGUUGAUUAGGAAUCUUAAAAUUGUAGCCUUUUAAAUUUUAGAGUUACACUCUAGGUUGUCCUAUUUCAGGAAAAAGUUUUUGUUCUUGUUGGUUUAUUUCUUUUGGAAAAUGAUUGUUAGUUCUGUUUGCAAAUAAGUUGAUAAGAUGUGCCCAUUCUGUAGGUUUUUCUGCCAUUUUAGAUUUGUGUUUAUUUUCUUCCUUUGUUUCAUUUUAAGCUUGUAAUUACUACAUAUACACAUGUACACAAAGGAAGGCGGAGUUGAUUAGAAUUUCUCUUAAAGGAGCACUUAAAUUAAGGAAAUAUGCCGCCUAGCCAGUUAAAGUUUUUCCUUUAUCGCAUGAUGUGUAAAUGGCUUGUAUGGGGAUUAGG
rnacentral:lncRNA from 1 species